rnacentral:rRNA from 1 species
GAUGAACGCUGGCGGCGUGCCUAAUACAUGCAAGUCGAGCGAACAGACGAGGAUCUUGCUUCUCUGACGUUAGCGGCGGACGGGUGAGUAACACGUGGAUAACCUACCUAUAAGACUGGGAUAACUUCGGGAAACCGGAGCUAAUACCGGAUAAUAUAUUGAACCGCAUGGUUCAAUAGUGAAAGACGGUUUUGCUGUCACUUAUAGAUGGAUCCGCGCCGCAUUAGCUAGUUGGUAAGGUAACGGCUUACCAAGGCAACGAUGCGUAGCCGACCUGAGAGGGUGAUCGGCCACACUGGAACUGAGACACGGUCCAGACUCCUACGGGAGGCAGCAGUAGGGAAUCUUCCGCAAUGGGCGAAAGCCUGACGGAGCAACGCCGCGUGAGUGAUGAAGGUCUUCGGAUCGUAAAACUCUGUUAUUAGGGAAGAACAAAUGUGUAAGUAACUAUGCACGUCUUGACGGUACCUAAUCAGAAAGCCACGGCUAACUACGUG